GCCUCCUUAGCUCAGUUGGCUAGAGCAUCCGCCUUGUAAGCGGAAGGUCGUCAGUUCGAGCCUGACAGGAGGCU
rnacentral:tRNA from 1 species